rnacentral:rRNA from 1 species
AUUGAACGCUGGCGGCAUGCUUUACACAUGCAAGUCGAACGGUAACAGGGUGCUUGCACCGCUGACGAGUGGCGAACGGGUGAGUAAUGCGUCGGAACGUGCCGAGUAGUGGGGGAUAACGCAGCGAAAGUUGUGCUAAUACCGCAUACGUACUGAGGUAGAAAGUGGGGGACCUUCGGGCCUCACGCUAUUCGAGCGGCCGACGUCUGAUUAGCUAGUAGGUGAGGUAAGAGCUCACCUAGGCGACGAUCAGUAGCGGGUCUGAGAGGAUGAUCCGCCACACUGGGACUGAGACACGGCCCAGACUCCUACGGGAGGCAGCAGUGGGGAAUUUUGGACAAUGGGCGCAAGCCUGAUCCAGCCAUGCCGCGUGUCUGAAGAAGGCCUUCGGGUUGUAAAGGACUUUUGUCAGGGAGGAAAUCCUAGUGGCUAAUAACUGCUGGGGAUGACAGUACCUGAAGAAUAAGCACCGGCUAACUACGUGCCAGCAGCCGCGGUAACAC